AAUCAUAUGCUUGUCUCAAAGAUUAAGCCAUGCAUGUCUAAGUACAAGCCGCUUUAGCGGCGAGACUGCGGACGGCUCAUUAAAUCGGUUAUGACUCCACUGGGGCCCGACUCCCCACGUGGAUAACGUGCGGUAACUCCGGUGCUAAUACAUGCAACAAGGCUCCGACCGCGGCUUCGGCCGCGGGAAGGGCGCACUUAUUAGGCGAAAACCAAUCGGCUUCGGCCGUUGGUGGACGACACCCGAGUAAUUGCCGCCGAUCGCACGGCCUCGAGCCGGCGACGCCUCCACCGAGUUUCUGAUCUACCAUGCUGUCGACGGUUGGUGCUAUGCCAACCGUGGCGUUAACGGAUAACAGAGAAUCUGGGUUCGAUUCUGGAGAGGCCGCAUGAGAAACGGCGACCACUUCCAAGGAAGGCAGCAGGCACGCAAAUUACCCACUUCGGACACCGAGAGGUAGUGACGAACAAUACCGAUGCGGUGCACUUACGUGUCGCCGUAAUCGGAAUGAGUACACUUCAAAUCCUUUAACGAGGAUCCACUGGAGGGGCAAGCCUGGUGCCAGCAGCCGCGGUAAUUCCAGCUCCAGCAGCGUAUAUUUAUAUUGCUGCGUUUAAAAAGCUCGUAGUUGAAGCGUCAGACGCGGGAGGACGGACGGCCGCACUGGUCGCUUCUCGU
rnacentral:rRNA from 1 species